AAAUGGUUUAGUAUGGCCCAAUAACCCUUUAGUAAGCUUAGUAACACGUUUGAACUGAAAUUGACAGAGAUAUCAACAUUUCUUGUUUUUAUGAGCGCAAAACGCUUUUCAGAGCGUUAGAAUCACUUUUUGAUCACUUCCAAAUGGUGGAUAUGGCCCUAUAACCCUUUGGUGAGCUUAGUAACACGUUUGCAUUGAAAUUGACAGAGAUAUCAACAUUUCUUGUUUUUAUGUGCGCAAAAUGCUUUUCAGAGCGUUAGAAUCACUUUUUGAUCACUUCCAAAUGGUGGAGUUUGGCCUUUCAACCCAUUGGUAAACUUAGUAACACGUUUGCAUUGAAAUUGACAGAGAUAUCAACAUUUCUUGUUUU